AUUGAACGCUGGCGGCAUGCCUUACACAUGCAAGUCGAACGGCAGCGCGGACUUCGGUCUGGCGGCGAGUGGCGAACGGGUGAGUAAUACAUCGGAACGUACCCUGUUGUGGGGGAUAACUAGUCGAAAGAUUAGCUAAUACCGCAUACGACCUGAGGGUGAAAGUGGGGGACCGCAAGGCCUCACGCAGCAGGAGCGGCCGAUGUCUGAUUAGCUAGUUGGUGGGGUAAAGGCCCACCAAGGCGACGAUCAGUAGCUGGUCUGAGAGGACGAUCAGCCACACUGGGACUGAGACACGGCCCAGACUCCUACGGAAGGCAGCAGUGGGGAAUUUUGGACAAUGGGGGCAACCCUGAUCCAGCAAUGCCGCGUGUGUGAAGGAGGCCUUCGGGUUGUAAAGCACUUUUGUCCGGAAAGAAAUCGCGCUGGUUAAUACCUGGCGUGGAUGACGGUACCGGAAGAAUAAGCACCGGCUAACUACGUGCCAGCAGCCGCCGUAA
rnacentral:rRNA from 1 species